CAAUAGCGUAUAUUAAAGUUGUUGCAGUUAAAAAGCUCGUAGUUGGAUUUCUGGUGGGAGCGAUCGGUCUGGCGCUUAGCGCGAGUACUUGCAUCGUCUCCGGCCAUCCUUGGGGAGUGUCUGUCUGGCAUUAGGUUGUCGGGCAGAGGAUCCUCAUCGUUUACUGUGAAAAAAUUAGAGUGUUCGAAGCAGGCUUAUGCCGUUGAAUAUAUUAGCAUGGAAUAAUAAGAUAGGACUUUGGUACUAUUUUGUUGGUUUGCGCACCAAAGUAAUGAUUAAUAGGGACAGUUGGGGGUAUUCGUAUUCCGUUGUCAGAGGUGAAAUUCUUGGAUUUACGGAAGACGAACUACUGCGAAAGCAUUUACCAAGGAUGUUUUCAUUAA
rnacentral:rRNA from 1 species